rnacentral:lncRNA from 1 species
AAAGACAAGCCCAGCACGGAAAGCUCCGUGGGUAACCGUCUCCCAAGCACUGCUCGAGCCCAGCACAGGGGCCUUGGACACCCGCCUCUGGAUUCUCUGUGCAAGCGCUCACCCUAUGUGGAUUCAGUCAGGACUUUGGCAGCCUCUGAGACCAGAAGGCCAUGAAGAAGGAAGCCCACUAGAAGCAGUGCCCACUACCCACCCACGCUCACUCUGACAGAAGCACACAAGCUUUGCACUGCCCGUCCUGUGCCAGAUUGGCGUGGUCAGCGGGAUCUGAAGCAGAACUCCAGUGAUUGCCAGGGGCACUGGGUAACCAGGUAUAGUUACCUGCACUGUGCUUAUUUUUUCCUUGCUGCAUCUGGGGCUCAUGAGUAAGUUCUCUCUUGGAUUCCAAAGCUCCACAGAUUUGUGCUUUGAGCUAUCUUUGAGCAAAGUUUUGAUCUGGACUAGAUUUGGAAGUUGAUUCUAGAAUCAUGAAUAAAGGAUCUUUCUUUUUGCCUUGAGCCCAAAUCCGAGGUUAAUUUGUGCUAUGAGAGAGCACGUGAACUUGAGCUGGGUACCAAGGAUUAUCUUGUGCUGUAAGAAGGCAUAUAACCUUUGGGGUUUGCAGUGUCUAGAUCAGACAGAAACUGG